GGAGGGGUGCGAGCGUUAAUCGGAAUUACUGGGCGUAAAGAGCACGUAGGUGGGGGGUGCUUGAGUCGGGAUGUGAAAGCCCUGGGCUUAACCCAGGAAUUGCAUUCGAUACUGGGCACCCUAGAGUAUAGUAGAGGGAAGUGGAAUUUCCGGUGUAGCGGUGAAAUGCGUAGAUAUCGGAAGGAACAUCAGUGGCGAAGGCGACUUCCUGGACUAAUACUGACACUGAGGUGCGAAAGCGUGGGGAGCAAACAGGAUUAGAGACCCUGGUAGUCCACGCCGUCAACGAUGAGAACUAGACGUUGGAAGGUUUACCUUUUAGUGUCGCAGCAAACGCGAUAAGUUCUCCGCCUGGGGAGUACGGCCGCAAGGCUA
rnacentral:rRNA from 1 species